rnacentral:tRNA from 3 species
CAGAAGCUAGUUUAUUAAAAAUAACUGCUUUGGGAGCCGUUGAUAUAGGAAUUUCCUAUGCUUCUGA